GUAAACAACUGAGCAGUGAGAAUCGUCUUUGCUUUCAUCAUUGUCUUUGAUAAAUGGGAUACUCGUGUUGUUUGAAAGGCUUCCAUACUAAAUCACACGACAAAAAUGGCAGCAAAGUUGACCGCGACGUGAACCAGCUUAUGAAAUGAUGGAGACUGACCCAGACUGGGCACCAUCCCUACAUCUGGGACACACAUCUGUUACACCGACAAACACUGCACGCUCUGCAAGACGAACGUGAGCAGCUACGGAAAGAGACACUGCAAGCACCAGAGAUGGGGGUCCAGCAGGAUGCAAACAUUGAAGAGCUGCAGACCAAGGAGGGACCAUCUGAGCCUGGUGAAAUAAACAGUCAUCAGCAGAAUGAGGAAGGGACACCUGACGCUGGAGAAGAAAGUGGUCAGCUACAGACUGAAGAGGGGACACAUGAAGCUGGAGAAGAAGGUGAUCAGCUAAUCACAGGGAUGAGACGCACAACACCAAUCAGGAUGUGACACAGAUUGUGAUUAUUGACCGUUUUGAAAUUUUCACAGAAAACCCAUUAAAUCUGAAAGCACAUGCCCAAAUGUUUUUCAUCUACAAGCACCACCACACUAUGAAGUAUUUAAUAUGUAUUACACCCAAGGGAGCCAUUUGUUUCUGAUCAAAAGGCUGGGGAGGGCGUACAAGUGACAAACAUAUAACCCUGAACAGUGAUUUAUUUUUUGAUAAUUUGUUACCUGGGGACAUUGUCUUGGCUGACAGAGGUUUUGACAUACAAGAAUGUGUGGGCAUGUAGUGUUCAGAUGUCAAACGCCCAGCAUUUACAAAAGGCCGCUGUCAGCACAUUUGAGAAUCCAUGUUGAAAGGGUAAUCGGAAAUGUUUGUCAGAAGUAUAAGAUCUUAACAGGAACCAUACCCAUAAACAUGAUUCUUCCAUGUGAAGGUGAAGAAGCCACAAUGUUGGAUAAGGUCACUUUCUGCUGUGCCCUGAUAAGCCAUUGCCCAACAGUAGUAUAGUACAAUUUUCUUUUCGUAGUGUUUGUACAAGCAGUUUUUUUUAUACGUUUGUAGAUGACUUAAACCUGUUUAAUAAAGUAUGUCAGUGACAAUUUUGAA